rnacentral:lncRNA from 1 species
AUGGUGCAGUCCGGCUUCGUCCCGGGAGAGCGGGGCCCGCGUGCGGGGUCGGCGCCGGGGGAGCAGCGGCAGCGACGGUGGCGGUGGUGGCUGCAGGCACAAGCAGGCGGCAGAGCGUCCAGCCCCCUGUCUCCGCGACCUGGCCCAUGGCGCCCCGCGGUUGAGCCGGCGCCGCCAGGGACCCCUCCCGCGGGCCUCCCCGGGGCGCGCAGAUCCCGGAGCCGCCCGCCCACCCUCCGCGGAGCCCCCCUCCCCUCCUCGCCCGAGCCGGGCGGGACCAUGGCUGCGAAGCUGCGAGCGCAUCAGGUGGACGUGGACCCGGACUUCGCGCCGCAGAGCCGGCCGCGCUCGUGUACCUGGCCCCUGCCGCAGCCCGACUUGGUCGGCGACGAGGACGGAGCGCUGGGUUCGGGGGUGGCCGAGGGCGCCGAGGACUGCGGGCCGGAGCGCCGGGCCACGGCCCCGCCGAUGGCCCCAGCGCCGCCGCUGGGCGCGGAGGUCGGACCGCUGCGGAAAGCGAAGAGCUCCCGGCGGAACGCGUGGGGGAACCUGUCCUACGCCGACCUCAUCACCAAAGCCAUCGAGAGCGCCCCGGACAAGCGGCUCACGCUCUCGCAGAUCUACGACUGGAUGGUCCGUUACGUGCCCUACUUCAAGGAUAAAGGCGACAGCAACAGCUCGGCCGGCUGGAAGAACUCCAUCCGGCACAACCUGUCUCUGCACACCCGCUUCAUCCGCGUGCAGAACGAGGGCACAGGCAAGAGCUCCUGGUGGAUGCUGAACCCCGAGGGCGGAAAGACGGGCAAGACCCCGCGGCGCAGGGCCGUGUCCAUGGACAACGGGGCCAAAUUCCUGCGCAUCAAGGGCAAGGCGAGCAAGAAGAAGCAGCUGCAGGCACCCGAGCGAAGCCCAGACGACAGCCCCCCGGGCGCGCCAGCCCCAGGGCCCAUGCCUGCCGCGGCCAAGUGGGCCACGAGCCCAGCCUCGCACGCCAGCGACGACUACGAGGCGUGGGCCGACUUCCGCGGCAGUGGGAGACCCCUGCUCGGGGAGGCAGCUGAACUGGAAGACGAUGAGGCCCUGGAGGCCCUGGCGCCGUCGUCGCCGCUUAUGUACCCGAGCCCGGCGAGCGCGCUAUCGCCCGCGCUGGGUGCACGCUGCCCGGGGGAGCUGCCCCGCCUGGCUGAGCUGGGGGGCCCGCUGGGCCUGCACGGCGGCGGCGGCGGCGGUGGCGGCGGCAGUGCAGGGCUGCCCGAGGGGCUGCUGGACGGCUCGCAGGACGCGUACGGGCCGCGGGCCCGCGCCGGGACGCCCGCCUACUUCGGCGGCUGCAAGGGCGGUGCCUACGGCGGGGGCGGGGGCUUCGGGCCGCCGGCACUGGGCGCUCUGCGCCGCCUGCCCAUGCAAACCAUCCAGGAGAACAAGCAGGCCAGCUUCCCGCCGGCCGCCGCGCCCUACCGCCCCGGGGCGCUGCCCGCGCUGUUGCCGCCGCCGCCACCCGCGCCCAGGCCCGGCCCCGUGCUUGGUGCACCCGGGGAGCUGGCUCUGGCGGGCGCUGCCUGGCACCUACCCUGGCAAAGGGGUGGCCCCGUACGCGCCGCCGGCGCCCUCGCGCAGUGCCUUAGCCCACCCCAUCAGCCUUAUGACGCUGCCCGGCGAGGCGGGCGCGACGGGUCUGGCGCCGCCGGGACACGCGGCCGUCUUCGGGGGCCCCCCCGGCGGCCUCCUGCUAGACGCGCUGCCCGGGCCGUACGCGGCCGCCGCCGCCGGGCCGCUGGGUGCCGCGCCCGACCGCUUCCCGGCCGACCUGGACCUCGACAUGUUCAGCGGGAGCCUCGAGUGCGACGUCGAGUCCAUCAUCCUCAACGACUUCAUGGACAGCGACGAAAUGGACUUCAACUUCGACUCGGCCCUGCCGCCGCCGCCGCCCGGCCUGGCGGGAGCCCCGCCCCCCAACCAGAGCUGGGUGCCAGGCUGAGGGCCGCCUGCCGCGCGCCCCAGGUGCCCUGCCCCGCACCCCGCCAGGGGCCUCUGUCUUCCCAUCCUGAUCCCGGGGUCCCCACUCCCAUUUCUGCUCCACGGGGCGGAUCCAGGAGGCAGCCCCAACCCAGCUAG